GGGAAAGUUUCCAUGGGUAGGGUAAGAUAUUUGCUAAAUAUUGUGCGUUUGCACAUAGAUGUUCGAAUCAUCUCUUUCCCG
rnacentral:tRNA from 13 species